rnacentral:rRNA from 1 species
ACGCUGGCGGCGUGCCUAAUACAUGCAAGUAGAACGCUGAAAGAGGAGCUUGCUUCUCUGGAUGAGUUGCGAACGGGUGAGUAACGCGUAGGUAACCUGCCUGGUAGCGGGGGAUAACUAUUGGAAACGAUAGCUAAUACCGCAUAAGAAUAGAUGUUGCAUGACAUUUGCUUAAAAGGUGCAAUAGCAUCACUACCAGAUGGACCUGCGUUGUAUUAGCUAGUUGGUGGGGUAACAGCUCACCAAGGCGACGAUACAUAGCCGACCUGAGAGGGUGAUCGGCCACACUGGGACUGAGACACGGCCCAGACUCCUACGGGAGGCAGCAGUAGGGAAUCUUCGGCAAUGGACGGAAGUCUGACCGAGCAACGCCGCGUGAGUGAAGAAGGUUUUCGGAUCGUAAAGCUCUGUUGUAAGAGAAGAACGAGUGUGAGAGUGGAAAGUUCACACUGUGACGGUAUCUUACCAGAAAGGGACGGCUAACUACGUGCCAGCAGCCGCGGUAAUACGUAGGUCCCGAGCGUUGUCCGGAUUUAUUGGGCGUAAAGCGAGCGCAGGCGGUUAGAUAAGUCUGAAGUUAAAGGCUGUGGCUUAACCAUAGUACGCUUUGGAAACUGUUUAACUUGAGUGCAAGAGGGGAGAGUGGAAUUCCAUGUGUAGCGGUGAAAUGCGUAGAUAUAUGGAGGAACACCGGUGGCGAAAGCGGCUCUCUGGCUUGUAACUGACGCUGAGGCUCGAAAGCGUGGGGAGCAAACAGGAUUAGAUACCCUGGUAGUCCACGCCGUAAACGAUGAGUGCUAGGUGUUAGACCCUUUCCGGGGUUUAGUGCCACAGCUAACGCAUUAAGCACUCCGCCUGGGGAGUACGACCGCAAGGUUGAAACUCAAAGGAAUUGACGGGGGCCCGCACAA